AUGUCCACGGACCAUUUUCUAUCGCCUUUCUCUUCCCUUCCUCUUGCUGAAACAGAAAUGGGAAUCUGUUCCCCCCAUCUCCCUCACCUCAAGCCUGCUCAAUGGGCACCAGGCCCUCUUCAGCGCGACCUCCAUACCCUUCACAUAGCCUGGUUUGUCCGACAUGAGCUUCCCCAUUGCCUUCGCUGCCCCCCUACCUGCUGUUGCCCUUGCUGCUGCGUCCUUCUCCAUCCAACCUUCACCCCCUUCUUCUCUGCUUCAGACAGAUUCAUCUUCUUGAGCAUUCCUUCCACGCCUUCCAUGACUAUCCGGACUCAGCUCCUUGAAUCUCCCCGAUCUAGGAAGAAUGGGGAGAAUCGCUCCUGGGAGACUGAGAAAGGAAGGAAGUCCCCGCCCGCGAGGUCGGCGAGAGGGAGAUCCAGGGGCGGGGUGAGAAGCUCCAGGGGACCCCAAGGCGGCGGCGGGGGAAUAGGGACAGGGGAAGAAUCGCCCCAGGAUCGCCAGAGAAGAAAACCUAGCCGUCACGGGUGGACGGACCAUCGCCACAGAAGCUGGGCGGCGAGGCGCUCUCCUCGGCGCCAAGAGAGGUCGCGCGCGGGAGGCCACCGGGCCCUCGUCUUCGACCGCCUCGAGGGGAUCAACGACAAGGUAACCGCCGCCCCCUCCCCUCCCACGGAUCCGCGGAUCUCGGCCGCCGGUGACGCGCGCGCGAUGGGUCCUGCUUGCCCCCUGCUGUUUUUUGCGCGAUUUGACGGGCUCCUUCCGCGUUUGAUUUCUGGCUCUGCUCCGUGCAGCAGGUCUACCUCGAGCGGACUCCCAUCGUCAUCUCGUGGCCAGGGCAUCUCCAGGAGUCGGGAUUUCCAGAUGGUAACUUCCUCCGGUCUCGUCCCUCCUCACCUAGCACAGAUGCCUGAUUUACUGCGUACCUGCGUGCGAAAUCCAUGUUUGGGACCGACCAAGGGGUCUGCUUUUAUUUGGCCAAUGUUGUUCAUAUUCUGCAAGUGUGGGGUCUGGUACAUUAAGUCCAGACGACUAGCUGAUGCUGAACACUAUCAUUCUGACUAUGUGAAUAUGUUAGCGGUCAUGCACUUAUUUUCAAAGGGAGAUCAGGAAGAUUCUGACAGGGAGGGCGAAGAAUUUCAAUAUCUCUCUCUGGAUGAUGUGUGCGAUUUUGGUAACGAGUUCGCCCAUGCCAUUGAAGCCAAACAGGUUGCUGCGAAGGAAGCAGAGUGUGCCAAGUUCAUUGUUGAGACGGCUGAGCAAGACAAGAAAAUUUCAGACUUCCAGUGGUACGUUCAUAUGACUGAAUAUAGUUUCAGACUUCCAGUGGUAUGUUGGGAGAGGCCAAGAGUGCAGAGCUCGUCGGUGCUGGUGAAGCUGGGCGGCGUGGCGCUCCCGUCAGCACCAAGAGAGGUCGCGGGAGGCCACCCGACCCUCGUCUUCGACCGCCUCAAGGGGAUCAAUGACAAGGUCUACCCCGAGGAGGCUCACAUCAUCAUCCCGUGGUUCGAGAGGCCGAUCAUCUACGACGUCCGCGCACGACCCAACCUUGAGGAGCCUACCUGGAGCUGCCUCCUGGUGCUAAUCCCAACCUCACCGAACUCGAAGAGAAUCACUUGGAGGAUUCAAGGAAUUGCGAAGCUCUUUUUGGCUUUUGAUAUUCUAUGUUUAGUGACCUUUCCUGCCAUACUCACAACAGCAAAUGAAAUUGAGCUUGUGCUAAUUUUCCAUGUCAUUGCUGCUGGUGCUUUCCAGGGUUAA
rnacentral:rRNA from 1 species